rnacentral:rRNA from 1 species
GCCUCGGGGCGCAGCAGUCGGGAAUAUUGCGCAAUGGAGGAAACUCUGACGCAGUGACGCCGCGUAUAGGAAGAAGUUUUUCGGAAUGUAAACUAUUGUCGUUAGGGAAGAGAAAGGACAGUACCUAAGGAGGAAGCUCCGGCUAACUACGUGCCAGCAGCCGCGGUAAUACGUAGGGAGCGAGCGUUAUCCGGAAUUACUGGGCGUAAAGGGUGCGUAGGUGGUUUCUUAAGUCAGAGGUGAAAGGCUACGGCUCAACCGUAGUAAGCCUUUGAAACUGGGGAACUUGAGUGCAGGAGAGGAGA